rnacentral:rRNA from 1 species
UACGAAGGGGGCUAGCGUUGCUCGGAAUCACUGGGCGUAAAGGGUGCGUAGGCGGGUCUUUAAGUCGGGGGUGAAAUCCUGGAGCUCAACUCCAGAACUGCCUUCGAUACUGGAAGACUCGAGUCCGGGAGAGGUGAGUGGAACUGCGAGUGUAGAGGUGAAAUUCGUAGAUAUUCGCAAGAACACCAGUGGCGAAGGCGGCUCACUGGCCCGGUACUGACGCUGAGGUGCGAAAGCGUGGGGAGCAAACAGGG